UGUUAACCCAAAUAUUUUAGCUGCAUGCGAAGGCAUCUCUUUGAAACUUAAAAUGCAUAAUUUUUCCCCGUAGGUCCAACUGUCCCAGGUGCUAUGCUUUCCAUUUAUCCGGCGCUUACUUUUUGAGAUCGUUACCCCUGUCUCCUUGGAAUAAUGCUUAAAUGGCAAUGUGGUGAAUUUACGUUCUCGGCAAUCCGGUAUAAUACUGAUCCUUUUCAUUAUUCUUAUAGUGGCACAAGAUGCAAAUUCGAUCCAUCCGCCAUUGGUUAGGAAUUACAGCAGGACAAAAGGGGGAAUAUCUGUGUGCGUGUAGCAACUGUGGAUUUUCUUUCAACAACAAACACGUCUAAUUAUUGUUACCAAAGGCGAUGAAAUAUCGCAUUGCAUAAAUUCAGUUCCAGUGUACGCACUAUGCAUGGGAUUUCUAUACUUGGUUCCCCACUUUGAAUAUGAUUUUAUU